UCAACCAGGGGCACCUGGGUGGCUCAGUUGGUUAAGCGUUCGACUCUUGGUUUCCACGCAGGUCACGAUCUCACGGUUUGUGGGUUUGAGCCCCACGUGGGGCUCUGCGUUGACAGCACAGAGUCUGCUUGAGAUUCUCUCUCUCCCUCUCUCUCUCCCCCUUCCCCGCCCAUGUGCAGGCACACUCACACUCUCUCUCUCAAAGGAAAUGAACAUUUUUUAAAAAAUAAUAAAUAAAUUAGCAUCAACCAUAUUCAUAAUGAUUAGACUCAUGUUUUAUGUCUCCCUGAGGCUUUUCAAACAUCAUGGGGGGAAAUCAUUUAGCAGAAUUUACUUAUAGCUAAGGGCCACUUUAACCCAUUGAUCGCCAUGAUGCUAUCUGAGGCUGUGGCUCUGAUUCUGUGCAUCUUCCUGCCCCUGAAGGCAUAAAGCAAAUGGACCAAGUUGCUGCUUCUCCAUACCUAGGACAGGAACAGAAAACUUUGUAUGCCCUGCUGUAACUGGAGGUGUGGGACUGGAGUGUUUAUUGGUCAAGUGAAUGAAAAGAGGCAGAUUGGAAUAUGGCCAAGGCCAAUACCCAGUCUCCUGAGGAAAAUUAGAGCCUUUGUUUUUUUUUAUUUUUUUUUUUUUGCUUUGUUUUGUUUUGGUUUGUUUGUUUGUUUGUUUGUUGUAAUUAUUUUUUUUCUGUCUUGCCUUCAAAGCAGAUUGUGUAAGAUUCGGUCUCCUCAGGAGAUAACUCAUGAAAUAUACCCCUUGGGUCCUUUGCAUCUCAUCCCUGCAUAGAUAGCAUAGGGAAGAGCAUCCCCUACCCAUUAGAGCCAUGGGCAUUUCCUGACAAAUACUGUAGCCCUCUGGAAUAUAUCAUUGAGCUCCUGGUUUACUGCAUUCUUCUGAAAGCCCUUUUUAUUGAAUUGGCUCAUUCUGAACCACUCAUACAUAGUGAACAUUCGUAUGGUACAUUUGGGGACACUAAGGACACAACAGUUUACAAAAACGUAGCUGGGAAGUUUUUAACUCCUAAUUUUGGCACAGAAGCAUUCCCUUUGAAGCUCCUAAUAAUCUUUCUUCCUACCACUGUUCCACUCAUUGUUUCCCAACUUCUUUUCUGGGAAAACUUGGGGUAAAUUUUUACUAUUUUAUGCUUGAUUUCUUUUCCUUCCCUCUUCUCACUUUUCAUUUCCAGAAGAAAUGGCUUGGCUUCCCUCCUUCUUCUCCAUCCUGCCUUGAAUACUCAGGAAUGCGUAACACUUUAGCAUAGGACAAUACAAUUUAGAUUGGGAAACUUUUUAUUUGUAAACCUCAGUGGGUUUUGUUGACACAGUUGUGCCCAAUUCCUGAAUGAACUUAAUCCCGUACUCUUAGUGAAGUUGAGAAAGCAAAGCUAAUAUGUGGUGAGUACCUACUUGGCCACAGAUGUUGGGCUAGGCUCCUUCUUAUACAAUUUCUCACGUAAUCUUUAUGAUAAUCCUGCUAAAUGUGGAUUACUGUUCCACUUGGAAUCUGAAGCCCAGGGAUAUUAAACACCUUGCCUGAGGAUAGGUGGCAAAGCUGAGCUUUGAACUCUGAUUUCUCUGACUUCAAAGCCAAUGCUCUUUCCACCUCAUGGAAAACCUUCAGAGCUUAGGACAUAUUUAUUGUUUCAAAAUGUAUAAUCCCAGAGCACACAUGCUUCCUUAGCCAUUAGAGGUGAGUGAAUGAAAUAGUAGUGUUGUGUUGUGUAAAGUCAUUGACAAAAUGACCUUUUGGUGCCAUUCUGAUCCUGCACUGCUUAGAGUAAUUAUGACUGUAAAGCCAUUGGAGCAGUCCAGAAGUAUUUCUAAGCAGUUUCUACAUGCCUAAGCAUUAAAUUUAGUUAUUUGUUGAACAUAAAAGCAGAGGAAUAGUCUUUCCAGGUGACAGAUAAAAUGAUGGAAGAAUUGAAAUAGUGAAAUAACUUCAAUGUUUGGAUUUAUGGUGCUGGUCAGAUUCAUUUAUAGAGACAAGGGGGUGUGUCAAGUCAGUGUUGGCUGGGGUACUCUCAGAAGGCACCACACAGAGAGUGGGGUGGGUUAUGGUUAGCUCUGAACAGAUUUCCUGGUCUCCACUUCUCUCAUGUGGCUUCCUUCCCUGCUCAAAAAGCCAACCAAAAAAAUAAGGUGAAAGAAGGGAAGAAUGGAGACAGAAAAAAGAGAGACUGUGAAUAACUCAAGCAAAUUGGAGAAAUAGCUUCAAGUCUGUAUUUCCUGGAUCAUGUAUGUAUGUUUGUGUAUGAGGGACAAUGCAUCAAAGUAGUGUUAAGAUGUGUAAGCUUAGAAGUCAGUCUACCAUAAUUCUGGUUCUUCUUCCACCAUCUAGUUUUUAUAUAGCCUUAAGCAAAUCACAUAACUCUCGGGCUCCUAGUGUCCUCCUGGAAUUGUAGGAAUUAGGAUGUGUGAUCAUAAAGUUUUAUUUCAACUCCAGGAUUUAAUGAUUUUAAAAGUUUUAGUGUGCUUUGAUUAUCACUCAUUGCAUUACAUGGACAUAUAUUAACUACUUUAAUAUGCAUCAAAGGAGGUAUGCUCUUUCUCUUCAAAAAUGCUAAAGGCUGACCUUGUUAUAGAAAACACUCUGGAAUCAUGCAUUCAGAAUACUUAAUUUUGAGUUUUCCUUCUUGUAUUUUAAUGUCUCUGCUCUCAUGGUCCUCCUCCUUCAUUGGAAGCCAGUUUUAAGUUUCGAUGAUUAACCACCCCCUUUUUUUGAACCCCCCCUUUUUUUUUAUUAAAUAGAAAGAGUACCAGAUGGAAGAGGUUACUCUCUAAUUCAGAAUUUAUCUUGACAGAGACUAGAUAAAAAGAUAAUACUAGAUAAAGAGAGGAAUUAGAAAAGGGAAUGUGUUGGAGAAAAAAAUAGGUAGUCACCACCAUAUUCCGGUGGAAUGCAAUCCUUGAAUAUUUAUCUAGUCCUGGAAUUUUCUAGAUAAAAUGCCAUCUUCAGUGUUUUGAGAGGAUACACUAAAUUAUUGGAAUAGCUACACUUUAUCCCAAGGGCAGGUUGUACCAACUCUCAUUUAAGUGUUUUCAUUUGCCUACCCUGUGUAUCCCCGCUUCUUAGGUGAUUUAAGGUAGAUAGAAGAUAGGCUAUUAGCACUGAAGUUGAUUACAAGGCUGAACUUCAAGACAGGAGUAAUGUAUCUCAACCCCCAAACCCCCACCACAUUUUCUAACUUUAUCCAGGGUUUAUACUGUAGAGGAUUUAAAACAACAACAGGAGUAUUUUCUCCAUUUUCUACCUUAUGCCUUUGAACUUGACAAAGGAAGAAAAUAUGCAUUCUGUUUCAAACAGUUAUGACAGUGUACAUGAACACCUGAAGUUCCUUCUCACUCAGCAGUUGAAAGCCCCCCUCUUACCUUUAAGACCAGUGUGACCUCACAGAGGCUUCCACAGAAGGCAGAAGGUUCCAUGAAGGGAAACAGACUCGAAGGUGGCUCUCAAUCAUCCCCACCUCCUGAUACCCGUGCCCUUGUAUGUGGCACUCCCCUUGAAUGUGGGCAAGACCUACGAUUUACUUCUGACCAACAGACUAAAGCAAAGGUGAUGGCAUGCAGAUAAUUAUUACACGUAUCAGAUAAUGUUAGAUAAAUUGUAGGAUUGUAACACCCAUCCUACAAGGAUACCUUUCCCUUUGGUGGCUUUCAAGAACUAAGCUCUCAUGUUGUGACCUACCACAUGGAGAGGGCCAUGUGGCAAGGAACUCAGGGUAGCCUGUAGCUAGUAAGAAACUAAAGCCUUCAGUCCAGCAGCCUAUAGGAGCUAAAGGCUGCCAGCAUCUAUGUAAACUUGAAAGCAAACCCUGCCCCAGUGGAACCUAAAGAGAAACCGUACUAAGCAUUUGAAUCCUCUAGAUGACUCAAGGUCAUCCUCAUGACCAUCUAUUAUUGUGCUCUGCUGAAAUUCAGUAAUUUUCCUCUCCUGUCCCCUCAGGCUGUCAGCUGCCAUCUCUGCUGUCACUGGGCUACCUCUCAUAGGCUUCCCCACCACCUUCUGAUGUUUAUUGGUUCUAAUCUCCCGUGUGGGGAAGGAACAGCAAAACGGUCAUUAGAAUCGCUGGUGAAUAUGAGUCAAUAAGCACUGAAUGCUUAUUGCUCCCAAAGGAGCAUCCAUCAGAGGAAAGAAUUGUUUCAUUCUGGCACUUUUUAAAAUCAGUGUUUUACCCACACAGAGCCCAAGACUCUUCCUCCUUCUCCUUCUCCUUCAUCAUCGUUUCCUUCUCCAACUCUCAGGGAAAUCGGAAACGUGGGCGGUGCCUAUAUGCUCUCUGACCCUCUCCUUGGAUUUUGUUCUUAAAUCGUAACAAUUAGAGGAGUUGCUAAAUUGGAUCAUUUCAGAUUGUCUCAGUUCUCUGCGGCUUUAAGAACAAGCUGAUUUGAAGCCACAUACUGUUGGCAGCUUUCAUCCAUUUAUUUGGACUAUCAAGCAAGAAUGCUCACAAUCUUUCAAAUGAAAGAAGACAUCUUUAUUUCCAGUUCACACCCUUCAUAAUAAGAAGGGUAUUUGAAAUAAAGCCAAAAAGCAUAACUUACUUCUCUAACUUCAUAUUACAGAUGCCCACAGUAAUGGAAGAAAAAAAAAUUUUUUUUUUUUUUUUUUUUUUUUACUACCCGACCUUCCCCCGGAUCAGCAGCAGAAAAUGACAGUGAUGCAUUCAGACUCGAACAGCAAAAAAGAAAGAAAAGAAUCCUUUGCUUACAUUUGUAGGAAAGGCCUCGGCUUUCCUGAAAAUCUGUCUUUAGGAAGAAAGCAGAGCUGCGGAUCCAACACAGGAAGAUGCCUUCAUGAUCAUUUUACUGAGAAAUUGUCUUUGACAGCUUCACUGUGCCAUUGCUAUCAAGAAGGGGCCUGUAUAAUAGAUACCAGAAAAUUUUGAAAUUAGGGAAAAAUCACGUUAUGGAACAAAGAUCCAUACCAAAACUUGGAGACAGGAGAACCGAGUUUUCUGGUAGGAGGGGAGACUUUGUGCUACGGAGUAAAUGGAGCUGAGAACGUCCCACUGUGGGGAGCAAGUGGACCACCUGCUCUAUCUUCCCAGGCACAUCUUCCCUUUAUACGCUUGGAGACAGCCAGUGCCACAAGUCCAUGUUAGGAUUCUCGCUCCUCUCUUCCUGCCUGGGACAGCUCUCUCCACCCCCGGCACUGCACUACUCUCACCUCCAGGAGGCAUUCCCUGAGCUUUCUCUCUCCCAGAUGGACAACGAUCUCCAUGUACCUAGGACAAUAGCCAUUUAUAUAGUGCCUCAUCUGUGUGCCACCCUUAAUUUCCUGCGGGCAGGGUCUGCAUCUGAUGUGCUUCUCUUAUGGGUCUGCACCCUAAUUCAGGACUCUAAGCAUGCUCUUAACCAAUGUUUAGGGGAAAAGGAAGGUGGCAAGGGAGGGAGGGAUAAAAACAGGGAAUGAAUGAAAUAUUUCAGCUGCAGAGAGCUUAUAUCUAGGGCCCCAAUAUAAUAAUAACCUUUUACAUGUAUGCCAUUUUACUACUUAACAGUUUUUUUUACAUGUAUCUCUUUAUCAUCAUUCUGCUAUUGUAUGCGUGGGUGCACAGCGUGUGUGUGCACGUGUAUCUUUGUAGUGCAUGCGUGUAUCGCUUCUCUUUCUCUAUUCCCGUCUACACACACACACACACACACACACACACACACACACACACACAGGUGUUGCUUAGGCACACAAAUGUAAGCUCUGUGAAGGCAAGGACGUUGCUGUGUCCAUAUCUCUAUACCAGCUUCUUAAACAGUGCCUGAUGAGGGAAAGCUCAAUAAAUGUUUGUUAGAUGAAUGAAUGAGGAUAUGCCCUCAUUUGGUCUUUACCAUCACCUCCUGAAGUGAACACAAUAUCCAUAUUCUAUCCUACUCUUUGGCAGGUAGCAAACCUGAGUCCUCACCACCUGCUCGAGGUCGCAUGGCUCGUUCUUGGCCAAACCAAGCCUUGAACUCAGCUUUUCUGUUUCUCUAUUCCUUUCCUUCUGUCUUCUGGGAAUUUGCUAUAUUAAUAGCAAAGCGAGAAAUGUCACACAGGGAAAAUUUGUCUCCAAGUUUAAAUUCAUGAUGCGUACACAAGAAAUUACUGACUUCUCAAUCCAACGGUAACACAGAUUGUGUGAUUUUGAGGAGGAGAAGCCUUUCUUUCCCAUCGUCUUCCCUUUAUUAGCCUAUGUGUCAGUGCACACACAUGCGUGCCGUGCAGCCCUCGGCUUGUACUUUUCCAGCCUCCUGUUAAUUCCUUUCGUGGGCUCUUCCUGCCCUGACCAUCCCCAGUUCCUGUCAAGGCUGUUGCUUGGUCAGGCCAAGGCCAGGCGACACGCAGCAGGAUUUGUUAUGGUUACUUUGGCAAGUGCAGAGGGCUUGAGAGAAGCGGAACAGCAGGCAUUUCAGGAGUAGGACUAGGCUGGCUUGUUGUUUGUUAUAAACGUUUCUACUCACCCUAAUUGUAGCUCGCAGGGGCAAGCAGAGUAAACACCCAUACAAAUUACUAAGUGGUACUGAAUGUCCAAGGCUGUCAACAAUCGCCGUGAACUUCAGAUGAAAUCUCCUUCUUGACUGAGACCGGAGCCAGGCAGCACACGUGGUCUCCCCCUAUCACUGCCCAUCUUGUGUGGACACAGCAGCCAGAAAGGGGCUCCGUAAGGCCCUGGCACCGGGAAGGAACUGGAGACGAAUAGGGUGCUUGGCGCGAAUGUUGGGAGGUAGCUACAGUCACUGUUUAUCCUUAGGCUCCUCUCUGGUUUUUUCUAUCUUAAAACAGGAUGACUACAAGGGGGAAUAAGGAAUACAGUGAUAGAGGAUCCCGCAUGAAAGUUCAAGAGAAAACUGGCAUUCAUUUUUAUCUGAAGCCUGUGGGGGGAGGGAUGAGUCAGUGAAAAGGGUACGAAGGGGAUCUGAAGUCACACUUUGUCACAGGCUCUGGGACAAUGGCGGUGAGUAGCCCAGGAACUCCACAAGGUUUAUUCUCAUAUUCACUCAGAUCACAGUGAGGCGAAAGGGACGCCCGUACAGAUUUUCGAGGCGGCUUCCCUGUUUGACCAUGACUCCGGCUGUCGUGCAGAGACUUGGGCUUCUCCGCUUUAGUAGGACUCAUUUCUUUCCCUUUUCCUUUCUCAUAAAUGACUCAGGAGACUCUGUGGAAGAACCACGUGUGCUCUCUUCCCAGAAUUGUCACCGAGGAAGUGCAUGUCCUCUUAGCUUACCGGAUUCGCCCAUUGAGACGUGCCUCUACUUUGCUCUCACCUCCUGGAUGUGGUUUGCAGAGAUGGGCUGUUGGGAUUUCCCACCAGUCCACGACUCGAAGUUUCUAUUUCCACAUUUUGACUGCCAGUUCUAUAUUUGCGCAAAAUCCUGCUUUUUGCCUGGUUUCCUAGGGAAACAGUUUGUAAGAGCUACUGCUUUCUGUCCAUCUGCUUUGCCCGCCUGGGUUUUUGACUGUACACCCUGAUUAUUUCCUAAUGUGACAGAAAGACGCCAGGCCCAAAAUAAGGGGGACUUCCUCUAAAAUUGCUAAAAACGAGUUUUUGAAAUUAAAUGGUCAGUUAGGAAAUCACUCUCCUGUUGGCGGAGGGGAGGGCAGUUUGUGUUGUCCUUAUGUUCACAGACUAUUAUAAUAAGAAAGGAAGCGUAAGUGAACAGUGGGCGGGACGAGACAUCUUAUUCGAUAGAUGCAAAGAUAUUACACAUAAAAUAUAAACUAGACACAACGACGGCCCUGCGAGGACCUUCCAGCUGGAGGGAUCAGCUACGACAUAGUUAAAGUAACCCUGCACUGGAUGUCUGGGAACCUGAGUUGCUGUGUCAUUAUCAUCUCAGGCUCGAUCUCCCCAUCAAAAAGAGGACCUCAUUUUAUUUUUGGAAUGUGGACCCCUUGUACUGAGGAUCCUGCACAGAAAACCGUAUUUACAAAGUAAAUAAGCAUCCCUGUGCCAGUGUUUACACUCCAUGGCACAUGCACGUUGACCAACCAGAACUGUGUAGGGUGACAAGACCAGUGUCACUGUGCCGAGUUGAUAAUCUAGCAACAAGCAGUCUAAUCCCUGAGACCUGCUUGCAUACUUGGAGGCUUUUUAAGCUCCAUUCUACAAGAAUCAUGGACACACCAGGUGCCAGGGGCAGCAAGCGGAGAACCAUUAACCUAGAUGAGUUUCUGAAAUCUUUGCCAGGUUCUCAGUUGCUAAAUUCUGUCUUGAGCUUUUCUGGGGAGAGAAAGCGGGCCGCGAAGGAAGGAGAAGAAUGCUUUCUCACACUGUGAAACGCCUGUGCUCACCUCGCCCACGGGGUUGUGUCCGUGACCCUAAUGCCCGUGAGGUUCUUGCAUGUUCCUAAGAUACUCCUGCAGACCAGACGUCAGAGGUGAGCCAGGUCCUGCACCAUGGCUCAGGGUGAAGACCGUUGUGGAGAGCAGCCGUGCAGGUCUCCCUUUAGGACAUAGCCAUGCACCUAGGGCUGGAAAUGGAGCCCUCCGCAGAUAGAAUCUGUUGUUUCAUUUAAUUACUUUUCAAGAUGCCGUUACCAGAAAUUUUUAUGUAAAUACAUAUUUUAUUCCCCGAGGCAUGUUAAUAUGAGACAAAAAUUAUACAACACUGAAAGGAAAACAAAAUGGCCCUUUUUACGAAUUCUCUCUGUGUGUUCUUCGGCACAUGCUAUAGGAUAACAAAGGUGCUCACUUAGCCAAAACCACUUUCUUUGGCAUUCAGUUUGCAGAAUCACAGGAAUGCAGAAUUGAUACUCAAUAGCUUAACGCGAUUCAACUCAAUGAACAUUGACUGUUUGCCUUCUCUAGGGCAGGUCCUGAGCCCAUGCUAUACAAAGUACGGGCACCAUUAAUGAAACAGACACUUAAGAGUCCCUGUGAUGUGCUAAAAGCAUAUAACCACCCUACUGGCUAGACAGUAAUUGGUGCCUCGGAAGAGGUACUUAUUUAUUUAUCAAGUACUUAUAUUGCACUCAUUAUAUGUCAAGCACUGUUCCCUGUACCUCAUUAACCCAUAUCAUCCUCAGAACAGCCUUUUGGAAUGUGAACUCCGGUGUGUAUGCUCUUAACCACGAUGCUGUGCUCCGAGGGGCGAGAGGAGAAAGAAGUUACUUUGGGCUCAGUGGAUCAAGAAAUGAGGCAUCUGAACUAGGAUUUGAGGACAUAGCACAGGCCCUCCAGGGGAUGUCUGGGAAUGUGUGUGUCUUCACAAGAUCGAAAUGUGUGUGUCUUUUGUAAGAUCGAAAACAAAGCUCAGAAUAUGAGGAGCUUUGAAAGUCCAAGAGGGCCCUUCCACCUCAUCUAUUUUGUCUAAGUGGGGCCACCAGGCAAGUAUAGGUGUGAGACCAGCAUGGCAAGAACAUGCUUCAUAUCCACAGCCGCACUCCCCUCAAGGUCAAGAAGCCAGCUGAGAAAACCUGCUGUGCUGAGAGAAUGCCCUCAAUGCACUAACCCAAUUAAGCAAGAUGUACCAUUUCCCUAAGAAGUCUUCAUUUCUCUCUUGGUGGAGGAUGCUUCCCAAAUUCAAUCUGCCCGCCUUAGGACAAGCUUGUGACCCUUCAGAUGCAAGGAAUUCCGAGUUAUAUACAUUUUUCUCGCUCCCUCGGUGAAUCUCCUCUACUCUUAUAAAAAGAAUAACUUCUGGCGUACUUCUGGCCAGUCAGGGACGAGGCUUCUCUGAGAAGAGGAUGAGCAGGAAUACAGAGCCCGCUGUCGGAGCGCCCUUUGGCCGGGCAGGUGCUGAGGGAAGCCUCUCUACCCACCCCCCACCCCCGGAAUCAGUGCCAGCCACCCACAGAGCUGCAGCUCCUCUGCCUUCCACGUGCAACUUGUUUGAUCAACCGCCAAGACAAGCCCACUGCCCAGAGGCUGCACAGCUCUCUUUUUCAGAUGCUCCCUGAAUCUUGUGGAAAGACAUUUGAUUCCAGAGCCUGUGCUGAGUGCAGCCGCCAGUCCUGUCACCGAUGCUUACGAACUGUCUCAAUUUACCAACUGAUUUUCUUCUAAAGGUUUUUUACAGUUUCUGGCCUCCACCACCAUCACUCCCCUUUCCCCCACCCAGUUUGGCCUUUAUUUAGGCUGAUGUCAGGGGUAUUUUUUGGAACGUGAAUAGAUCCAAAGAUGCCUUUUUUUUUCUUUUUCUUUCCCUCUUGGAGUCAAAUGUUCACCUACUGAGAGCUUCAUUCUCCCUCCACCUUUGUGAAGACGGUGAUGUACAGGGUAUCACCAUAGCCUAGUAUACAGGAUUCCUGGCUCUGGAGUAGUAAUAGAUUGCCAGACAGUCCCAGACUGUCAGACUGGGCCAGACUGGGCCGAUCACCGUUCACUCCCCUGAGCUUGUUUCCCCAUUACCUAAAAUGGGGGUAUUAACUGUACCUGCCUCACAGUGCUUUGGGGAUUAUUACCUUCAAUAAUCUAUGUAAAAUACUCACCUGCACACAAGCGCCCACGCAAUAAAUGUAGCCAUUAUCACUACUGGUAACAACAUGAAGCUUUGAGGAUGAAUCAUGCCAGACAAACUACAUGGUUCUUCCUGACAAACAAAGUAUAUGGCUCUUCCUCCGUAUGAUUUUAUUUCACGUAGCCACAGGCCUAUCCCAAAGGCAGUAAUAACAAAGGGAAGGUGGAGAAAGUUCUAAGCUCCUUUAUCCUAAGCUGAGUGGCUCCAUGUUGUCCCUGACCCCCUCUCUUGUGAUUCUUACUGGAUAUCUUCGGGGAGACGUCCGACGGGUACCGUGGAUGCGGGGCGGAUGGACGAUUCCCCAGAGAAGUUAACUGAGUGUAUAACAUCCGUGUGUAAACUCACACUUGUUCUUGCUCCCUUUCCUCGCCAGAGCUAUCCGCGGAGCCUCCUAAUCACACCGAUUCCUGAGCUUCAGCUCCAGAGAUACUGAUUUUACGGUUCUUGGGCGGCGGCUGGGAGGAUGAGCAUUCUUUUUGAAGCUCCCCAAGUGAUUCUGAUGGGCGACCAGGCUUAAGAACCCAUGACUGAGAGGAUGGGCGGGCCCAGGGAGGAAAUGGAUAUGCUCUACAGCAACCAUGAGAAGGAUCGAUGGCAAACAGACCUAGCAAGUGUCUGCCUAGCGGAAGCUUUGCCUCUGCUCAGUCUCUUCUCAGUGUGGCAUUUGCAGGCAAUACAAAACAAAAAGAAAGGAGGGGGGCCUCAGCAUCAAGGAUGUGAAAGCUGCCUCUAAUCUUCAACUAGAUAAUAGGCAGGGGCCUCAAGACUGUAACCUGAGGAACAACAAAGGCAGCUGGCAUAUGUGGGCUGAGGUGAAAUACAUGUACUGAUGUGAGAGCCUCAGUGUUAGGCUCUCUGAAAGGAUGGAGAUUUUCUUAGCUUUGCUUCCUAUCAAAAUAAGAAAGACAUGUGGUGCUUUCUUAUGAGUCUUUAGAUUUCUGUGCUUGGGCACAACUUAUCUCUUUUCUCCAUGCUUUCUCAUUUCCAGUUUCCAAGUUAUGGGAGAUUAUCUAGUUCAGUUCCAGCCGUCUCAUUUUACAGAUGGCAAAACUGAGUGAUGCCUGACAUCUCACAGCACGACACGGGCAGAGAUCUUGUUCCCUCACGUGAUACACCACAGUCUAUUCGAUACUCAGUUCAAGGAUGGAAGAGAUGACUUUGGAGUCUCUCCAGCUUUCCUACUGGCUCUGAUUUCUCGACCAACGCCCUAACUAUUCCCAUGACACCCUGGCUAACCAGGUGUCUUAUUUUCAAAGAUGGCAAAAGUUUCUUUAUUUUGAAGACAUAGUUCUUACCUUAACUGCCCCAAGCACCGUGGCAGAAGGACCAUGACCUUGCUGAGAGCCACCGCAAGCCAAAUGAUUUACUUAAUUUUCCUUAAGUACUCAGAAGAAGAAAAACAAUAAUCUAUAUGAUGGACUUUUGGCCUGCACCCAUAUCCUUUAGGAAAAGAUGGAAUUUGGCAUAGCACAUACUCUGAUUUAAAGAAAAAUGUUUUGUUCUGAUGUAUUUUGUCUAAUUAAGAGUAAAAAAAAAUAAAAGGAUUGAAUUUUUCCUAUGCAAUGUCA